rnacentral:rRNA from 1 species
CACGUAGGGCGCAAGCGUUGUCCGGAAUUAUUGGGCGUAAAGAGCUCGUAGGUGGUUUGUUACGUCUGCUGUGAAAACCUAGGGCUUAACCCUGGGCUUGCAGUGGAUACGGGCAGACUAGAGGUAGGUAGGGGAGGAUGGAAUUCCUGGUGUAGCGGUGAAAUGCGCAGAUAUCAGGAGGAACACCGGUGGCGAAGGCGGUUCUCUGGGCAUUACCUGACGCUGAGGAGCGAAAGCUAGGGGAGCAAACGGG